CCGCGCUGACCUCCCAGGGCCACACCCCCAGCCCCGCCCCUUCUCUGACCCCCGGCCCGGCUCCCCCAGCGCCCCACCGCACCCCAGGAGCCUGGCCCCCGCCUCCCUAACCCGAGUUCGCCGGAGCGUCGACAUUUCACGGACUCCCCUCCCCGCCUCGCAGAGACGUUCUUAUGCCCCCUGCCCGCGUCCCGAGGCUCGGACGUGGCUGUUCUGGGGGGCGGGUAUAAAAGGCCGGAGGCUGCGCGGGCCGGACCCGAGACGUGGCGCUCCCGCCGUGCCGGCCGCAGCUCCAGCACUUGAAUUUCAGCAACUUGGCUAAACUGGCAUCUCAGACCAGAGGAUCAGGAGGUGGCUGAGGAGGAAGUUACCCUAGAAGAGACCAGGGUUUGGCUGUGGGUCACGCAUGACCUUCAGGGGAAAUCUAGAUUUCUGUGGUCCUUAAAAUGUGAUCGAUUGUAUUAAAAUUAUGGAAAACCUCA